rnacentral:rRNA from 1 species
GUGCAGCAGUCGCGAAUACUCCACAAUGCGCGAAAGCGCGAUGGGGCUAUCCCGAGUGCCGUCCGCUGAGGAUGGCUUUUCUCCAGUGUAAGGAGCUGGAGGAAUAAGGAGAGGGCAAGUCUGGUGUCAGCCGCCGCGGUAAUACCAGCUCUCCGAGUGGUAGGGACGUUUAUUGGGCUUAAAGCGUCCGUAGCCGGCUCAGCAAGUCCUCCGUUAAAUCCAGCGAUUCAAUCGUUGGACUGCGGGGGAUACUGCUGGGCUAGGGGACGGGAGAGGCCGACGGUAUUCCCGGAGUAGGGGUGAAAUCCUAUAAUUCCGGGAGGACCACCAGUGGCGAAGGCUGUCGGCUAGAACGAGCUCGACGGUGAGGGACGAAAGGCUGGGGGAGCGAACCGGAUUAGAUACCCCUGUAGU